GACGGGCUGUCAACAGAGCGCGCAGUGCUGAACAAGAUGAUCACCAAAAUAGGCAACCGAAUCAACGAGCACCAAAGCGCGAGGUCGGUUUGUGUCCAGCAGUGAAUGAAACAUACUUUAACAAGAGACGCCUAUAGGUAGUGACGGCAGAACUAAUGCAUGUUGUUCCGAGCGUGUCAUCUCAUCGAGUGAGCUUUUCCCUCGCCAACCAACCCAGACAAGACAACGCCUGUCAGGAAAAUCAGUCGAACCGAACGACUCCUGCCACGUCUCUUCUGAAAUGAUACGACAUGGUAACAGCAGACCCUUGCAGACAUGCAGCGGCCGGUUGAGAGUCCCAGAAGUUGAGUCGGACGCUAAUUGUGUCAACAGCGGCUUAGGAAUCGCGCGUCUGUCAGUCUUCUCCUUACAUGCCCCAGGCCCCGCUGCAGUGGCGAA